AUUAGAUAAAACAUCAGUAUUCAUCCAGGUAUUAUCAGUACAAUACCUACACUUCGUAAAGUAGUUUUUUAAAAUUUUAUUCCAAAACGUUAUUUACCACACCAAACAAAAAUGGAAUAUGAAGGCGUGAGGGAAAUAACCACAACUGCUGCGAUAGGGAUUAUCAUUGUAGGAAUUGUUCAUUUUGGACUACUUGUGUUCUUUUUCGUAUCUAUAAUAGUAUUAUGCGUAAAAGUGAAAAAAAUGCGUAAAAUUCUUGAUUCGCAUACUUCUUUGUUACAAUUUAGACUACA